GGCUCGUUGGUCUAGGGGUAUGAUUCUCGCUUUGGGUGCGAGAGAUCCUUGGUUUAAGUCCUGGAUGAGCUC
rnacentral:tRNA from 1 species